rnacentral:rRNA from 1 species
GACGAACGCUGGCGGCGUGCUUAACACAUGCAGGUCGAACGGAAAGGCCCUGCUUGCCGGGUACUCGAGUGGCGAACGGGUGAGUAACACGUGGGUGAUCUGCCCUGCACUUCGGGAUAAGCUUGGGAAACUGGGUCUAAUACCGGAUAGGAGCCAUCUUUAGUGUGGUGGUUGGAAAGUUUUUUCGGUGUAGGAUGAGCUCGCGGCCUAUCAGCUUGUUGGUGGGGUAAUGGCCUACCAAGGCGGCGACGGGUAGCCGGCCUGAGAGGGUGUACGGCCACAUUGGGACUGAGAUACGGCCCAGACUCCUACGGGAGGCAGCAGUGGGGAAUAUUGCACAAUGGGCGCAAGCCUGAUGCAGCGACGCCGCGUGGGGGAUGAAGGCCUUCGGGUUGUAAACUCCUUUCGCUAGGGACGAAGCUUUUUUGUGACGGUACCUAGAUAAGAAGCACCGGCUAACUACGUG